rnacentral:piRNA from 1 species
UACAAAGAGGUACCUGACAGGAUUG